AAAACAAAAUACAAAAAAAA
rnacentral:sRNA from 1 species